rnacentral:rRNA from 1 species
AUUCCAGCUCCAAUAGCGUACAUUAAAGUUGUUGCAGUUAAAAAGCUCGUAGUUGGAUUUCUGGUGUCGCAGUGCUUCCGCGUGUUUAAUUACAUGUCGAGUUGUGUUUGCGUCGCCAUCUUUUAGCAGCACCUUCCUGGCAUUAGGUUGUUGGGUUGGUAAUGCUAAUCGUUUACUGUGAAGAAAUUAGAGUGUUCAAAGCAGGCUUAUGCCGUUGAAUACGUUAGCAUGGAAUAAUAAUAUAGGACGUUGGCCCUAUUUUGUUGGUUUCUAGAGCUAACGUAAUGAUUAAUAGGGAUAAUUGGGGGUAUUCGUAUUAUCACGUCAGAGGUGGAAUUCUUGGAUUGUGUUACGACGAACUACUGCGAAAGCAUUUGCCAAGGAUGUUUUCAUUA